GCCAUAGCUCAGUUGGUAGAGUGUGAGACUCUCAAUCUCAGGGUUGUGUGUUCGAACCCCAUGUUGGGCA